rnacentral:misc_RNA from 1 species
GAUGAAGAACGUAGCGAAAUGCGAUAAGUAGUGUGAAUUGCAGAAGUACCGUGAAUCAUCGAAUCUUUGAACGCAAAUUGCACUCUCUGGUAUUCCGGGGAGUAUGCCUGUUUGAGGGUCGCUUAACAAACCAUCGAUUUCGUUGCUUUUUUUUUUUAAAAAAGUGAUGUUUAUCGGAUUUGAGCCGUCUUUUUUUUUAUAUUUAAUUGGCUUAAAAUUGAUUUUUUUGGUACGAUCGAAGCGUAUUUUUAUGAUCGAUUUUUGGUUAAAGAAACGCACACGUACCGUUAUUUAUAUGAUGUAAUACGUUUGACUAUUGGAUUUAGUUCAUUCGUAUACGAUAUUUUUCAAUAUUUGACCUCAAAUCAGGUAAGAACACCCGCUGAACUUAAGCAUAUCAAUAAGCGGAGGA